rnacentral:rRNA from 1 species
AGCGAACGCUGGCGGCAGGCCUAACACAUGCAAGUCGAACGGAUCCUUCGGGAUUAGUGGCGGACGGGUGAGUAACACGUGGGAACGUGCCCUUUGGUUCGGAACAACUCAGGGAAACUUGAGCUAAUACCGGAUGUGCCCUUCGGGGGAAAGAUUUAUCGCCAUUGGAGCGGCCCGCGUCUGAUUAGCUAGUUGGUGAGGUAAAGGCUCACCAAGGCGACGAUCAGUAGCUGGUCUGAGAGGAUGAUCAGCCACAUUGGGACUGAGACACGGCCCAAACUCCUACGGGAGGCAGCAGUGGGGAAUCUUGCGCAAUGGGCGAAAGCCUGACGCAGCCAUGCCGCGUGAAUGAUGAAGGUCUUAGGAUUGUAAAAUUCUUUCACCGGGGACGAUAAUGACGGUACCCGGAGAAGAAGCCCCGGCUAACUUCGUGCCAGCCGCCGCAGUAAGAC